rnacentral:tRNA from 1 species
AGUGGUAGAGCAGUGGUAGAGCGCAUGCUUAGCAUGCAUGAGGUCCUGGGUUCAACCCCUAGUACCUUCA